AUACUACUCCCUCCAUCCUGAAAUACUUGUCGCAUAAAUGGAUGUAUCUAGAAUUAAAAUACAUCUAGAUACAUUCAUUUCAAUGACAAGUAUUUCUGGACGGAGGGAGUACAUC
rnacentral:pre_miRNA from 1 species